rnacentral:rRNA from 1 species
UACGAACUGUGCGAACGUUAUUCGGAAUCACUGGGCUUAAAGGGUGCGUAGGCGGCUGCCUAAGUCAGGUGUGAAAUCUCCCGGCUCAACCGGGAAACUGCGCUUGAUACUGGGCGGCUCGAGUGAGGUAGGGGUGUGUGGAACUUCCGGUGGAGCGGUGAAAUGUGUAGAUAUCGGGAAGGAACGCCAGCAGCGAAAAGCGGGCACACUGGGCCUUUUCUGACGCUGAGGCACGAAAGCCAGGGGAGCGAACGGG